GUCUCGGAGCUGGAAAUCCAUCUUCACUUACACAAUACCAAUUGUUUUUGGUCCAGUAAUCCUCCUCUGGGGAUCUAGCAAGUAUCUUGCUGAGAAGAUUCCAAAAGAUAUACCAAGCAAAACAAUCAACUAGGAUUCACAAAACAUGAACUGAUUAUGCAGAUAGCUCCAGCAUUGCCAGACUUUGUAUUGUCACUAAAACCUGAUGAAUAUCAGCUUCCUUCAAUGGAUCCCUCCUGGGAUGAGCUUUAAAAAUUAGUUU